GGAGUUGUGGCUCAGUGGUACAGCACUUGCCUGGUAUGCAUGAGACCCUGGGUUCGAUCCUCAGCACUGCA
rnacentral:tRNA from 1 species